rnacentral:rRNA from 1 species
AACGAACGCUGGCGGCAGGCCUAACACAUGCAAGUCGAGCGAGGACUUCGGUUCUAGCGGCGGACGGGUGAGUAACGCGUGGGAAUGUGCCCUUCUCUACGGAAUAGCCCUGGGAAACUGGGAGUAAUACCGUAUACGCCCUAUUGGGGAAAGAUUUAUCGGAGAAGGAUCAGCCCGCGUUGGAUUAGGUAGUUGGUGGGGUAAUGGCCUACCAAGCCGACGAUCCAUAGCUGGUUUGAGAGGAUGAUCAGCCACACUGGGACUGAGGCACGGCCCAGACUCCUACGGGAGGCAGCAGUGGGGAAUCUUAGACAAUGGGGGCAACCCUGAUCUAGCCAUGCCGCGUGAGUGAUGAAGGCCUUAGGGUUGUAAAGCUCUUUCAGCUGGGAAGAUAAUGACGGUACCAGCAGAAGAAGCCCCGGCUAACUCCGUG